GACCAUAUCACGUUCAAACAUCGGUUCUCUUAAGAUCACCGAAGUCAAGCAACGUCGAGAUAGGUCAGUGACUAGAUGGGUGACCGCUUGAGAAUACCAGGCGCUGUAA